AGUGAAGUUCCUGAUUAAAGGGCUAUUGUGAUAGAAUAGAUAAUGUAAAUUUUUACCUUCACUA
rnacentral:tRNA from 1 species